CCGCUGGCUGGUGGCCGGAGCCCUGACAAACUGGGUAGGGCGGCUCGUUGCAGGCUGACCGUGGCUGGUACAUCGCCUCAUGUUGGAAAGUGGUCUCUCGCCUCUGGCUGCUGUAAUAUCCCGGAGAGUGAUUGGGAAGCCGCUGAAGAACUAAUUGUUCCACUGUCUGAUGUAUACCAUUAAAGGGAGGGAAAGGAUGAAAAAUGCAAUGGGAACCCUCGCCUAUCUGAACGUUACAUUGUCAUUCCGGUACUACGGUAGGUGAAUGACAAUACUCACCUAGCCUGGUGGUGGUAAUUUGCAUCAGUCAACAUUAUUUCUUAACAUCAAUACAAACCAGAU